CUUCCGGUGGUUAAACACUUCUCAAUCACCAGGUUGGAAACACCAAAAUCAAGGAAGGGUUACAAUUAGGGCUAAAAAUCUAUGUGCAGCUGCUAAAAUCAUACCUCCCAGGGCGCUUCGUGCUUGAAAAUCAUACUAUACAAAUUGAGUCUUAUCAAAUGCCAUUGGAUCUGCAAUCUGUUGUUCAAGAGUAACGGGUGGGUUAACUGACCGAUGGUGAGUUGAUGGCGAUUCUAGCAAGCUUUGGCGAAGCACCAGUGACCAGGCUCGCUUCUGCAUGUUCUCUUGUAGAACAAAUUCAUGAUUUCCAAGGUUAGUUUUGUGGGGUGUAGGUACACUUGGUAUGUUUCAAUAUCAUUUUUCAAUCAUUCAAGUUAAGCCGAUUCAGUUUUAUCUAUAUACUAUGUUAUAAUGUAUGGUGUGGAUAAUUGUGGUUAAUUGGA